rnacentral:rRNA from 1 species
UACGUAGGGGGCAAGCGUUGUCCGGAUUUAUUGGGCGUAAAGAGCUCGUAGGCGGUGUGUCGCGUCGGCCGUGAAAACCUGUGGCUUAACUAUGGGCUUGCGGUCGAUACGGGCAUCACUGGAGUUCGGCAGGGGAGACUGGAAUUCCUGGUGUAGCGGUGAAAUGCGCAGAUAUCAGGAGGAACACCGGUGGCGAAGGCGGGUCUCUGGGCCGAUACUGACGCUGAGGAGCGAAAGCGUGGGGAGCGAACAGG